rnacentral:rRNA from 1 species
UACGUAGGGAGCAAGCGUUGUCCGGAUUUAUUGGGCGUAAAGAGCUCGUAGGCUGUUCGAUAAGUCGGGUGUGAAACCUCCAGGCUCAACCUGGAGACGCCACCCGAUACUGUCAUGACUAGAGUCCGGUAGGGGAGCGUGGAAUUCCUGGUGUAGCGGUGAAAUGCGCAGAUAUCAGGAGGAACACCAGCGGCGAAGGCGGCGCUCUGGGCCGGUACUGACGCUGAGGAGCGAAAGCGUGGGUAGCAAACAGG